UACGGAAGGCAGCAGUGGGGAAUAUUGCACAAUGGGCGCAAGCCUGAUGCAGCCAUGCCGCGUGUAUGAAGAAGGCCUUCGGGUUGUAAAGUACUUUCAGUCGUGAGGAAGGUGUUAAGGUUAAUAACCUUAGCAAUUGACGUUAGCGACAGAAGAAGCACCGGCUAACUCCGUGCCAGCAGCCGCGGUAAUACGGAGGGUGCGAGCGUUAAUCGGAAUUACUGGGCGUAAGGGCACGCAGGCGGUUAAUUAAGUUGGAUGUGAAUCCCCGGGCUUAACCUGGGAAUGGCAUUCAAGACUGGUUAGCUAGAGUCUUGUAGAGGGGGUAGGAAUUCCAUGUGUAGCGGUGAAAUGCGUAGAGAUGUGGAGGAAUACCGGUGGCGAAGGCGGCCCCCUGGACAAAGACUGACGCUCAUGUGCGAAAGCGUGGGGAGCAAACAGGGAUUAGAUACC
rnacentral:rRNA from 1 species